AGCUGUGGAGCUUAGUAUCAGAUAAAAACAUCAGAUCCCAUCUGAUCUUGAAAGCUAAACUGGAUCAGCCUCUGUUUGUACUUUGAUGGGAGACCACCAAUGAAUACCAAGUGCUGCAAGUU
rnacentral:rRNA from 1 species